UCAAUUCGAGUCAAAACAUUUCAGUUUGCAAUAAAGUUUAAGUAUACAAUUAAUGUAGUGAAAUUAAGUCGAGUUCACUUGUUUUUUGUUUGGAAACAUUUUUUUGUGGUUAAGUUUCUUCUGAGUCCAAAUAUACAGUCAUUGUGGUUUAUUUUCACUCGUUUCAGAACAUGUACUCUGUAGCAAUCAGUCAAGUUCAAAUAUACAGUUUGUGCUUCUGGACUUCACUCGAGUUCAAAUAUACAGUUUGUGCUUCUGGAUUUCACUGAAGUUCACAUAUAUAUUUGUUUUUGUUUCCAAACGAUAGGCAAUUUACUUACACCUAUAACCGAUUCGCAUGUGU
rnacentral:lncRNA from 1 species